AGUAGCCGGUAAGGGCACGGAGUUCCUUUUUAGGAAAAUCUGCAGCCUUUACCGGGUUUCUCAAGUUCUGGAGUGGGGAAAACCCAUUCACAGGAUUGGUAUAUAGGAGG
rnacentral:ncRNA from 1 species